rnacentral:rRNA from 1 species
UACGUAGGGUGCGAGCGUGUCCGGAAUUAUUGGGCGUAAAGAGCUUGUAGGUGGUUUGUCGCGUCGGCUGUGAAAACCCGGGGCUCAACCCCGGGCCUGCAGUCGAUACGGGCAAACUAGAGUGCGGUAGGGGAGACUGGAAUUCCUGGUGUAGCGGUGAAAUGCGCAGAUAUCAGGAGGAACACCGGUGGCGAAGGCGGGUCUCUGGGCCGUAACUGACGCUGAGGAGCGAAAGCGUGGGGAGCGAACAGG